CUGGCGGUGAGAUUCAAACAGCAGCUCGAGCUUUGAUGAUUGUUUUAGAGAUAGCUUUUUCUAUCAAGUAUUAUCUGUUACUGUAAGGCUCAUUUCAUAGCAAGUGUGGUAAACCUUGCACUUCCUGUUUUUAAUGUUUCAGCACUUCUCCAUGAUGUAAUGGCCCAACAACAAAUUCUUAUGGAGCAGCAGAGAAACAUUCUAAGAAUGGUGCAAGAUCUAAAAGCUCACAAUGUUCAUGGGAUCACAGGUUGACCAUUUCAGUCCAAAAAGAUUUCCCAUUGAAGACUUAAGGUCAUUAACAUCUUUGGAAGUGACCUUCGAUCCUGUCCAGAAACUAGAUGAGAGGUGGUAGUACUUGAACUAGGAUUUCUGGGUGGAGUGGAUGUAAAGGACACAGUCUGGAGAAUUAUGAGGCAGGCCAUCAAAAAUGACUUGGCCAAAGCGGUGAACUGGAGAUGUGUAAAUGGGAAAACACUGUUCCAGACUUUGGAGCUAAAAACAUUGUUAGUGAGGCUGUAAGAAGAAAUAGUGUGUGCAGACAACUGAGCUGGAGGUGAAGAAAUUUAUUAAAAGGUGGUUUCAUCUGGCUGGUGACCGUGAGGGUUGCAGAAAAAGAAGAACACCUUUAACAUUAUAAUUUAUUGCUUGGUUUCUAGUAUUUGUUAUUUUUGUAUUUUAAAUAUUUAUUUUUAUUUUACUGGUUUCUUAUUUUUUUCUUCCACUGUUUUUUUUUUUUUCCAUGCUGAGAUUUGUUUCCCAU